GCUCGUGUCGUGAGAUGUUGGGUUAAGUCCCGCAACGAGCGCAACCCUCGCCCCUAGUUACCAGCACGUUAUGGUGGGCACUCUAAGGAGACUGCCGGGUGACAAACCGGAGGAAGGUGGGGAUGACGUCAAGUCAUCAUGGCCCUUACGGCCUGGGCUACACACGUGCUACAAUGGUCGGUACAAAGGGUUGCCAAGCCGCGAGGUGGAGCUAAUCCCAUAAAACCGAUCGUAGUCCGGAUCGCAGUCUGUAACUCGACUGCGUGAAGUCGGAAUCGCUAGUAAUCGUGAAUCAGAAUGUCACGGUGAAUACGUUCCCGGGCCUU
rnacentral:rRNA from 1 species